rnacentral:rRNA from 1 species
UUAUUAAUACCCCCAAAAACACCCAAUAUUAAUUAAACAAACCAUUUUUCCCCCCAAGUAUGGGCGACAGAAAAGGAACAUUUAGAGCUAUAGAAAAAGUACCGCAAGGGAAUGCUGAAAAAGAAGUGAAACAACUCAGUAAAGUUUAAAAAAGCAAAGAUUCACCCUUGUACCUUUUGCAUCAUGAUUUAGUCAGUAAAAACAAGCAAAAGGCACUUUAGUUUGAUUUCCCGAAACUAAGUGAGCUACUCCAAGACAGCCUAAAAUAGGGCCAACCCGUCUCUGUGGCAAAAGAGUGGGAUGAGCUUAGAGUAGAGGUGAUAAGCCUACCGAACUUAGUUAUAGCUGGUUGCCUGAGAAAUGAAUAGAAGUUCAGCUUUUUGGUUUCUCCCCCCAACCUGCUUAGCUAUGACGAACCAAAGAAGCCAAAAAAGUUAAUUAAAGGGGGUACAGCUCCUUUAAACAAGAUACAACUUCACCAGCCGGGUAAAGGUCAUAUACAAUUAAGGUAGAAUGUUUUAGUGGGCCCAAAAGCAGCCACCUAUAAGAAAGCGUCAAAGCUCCUUCAUACCACCCCCCCCCUCCAAAUUCAGAUAAUAUAUCCUAAACCCGCUAAUUUUAUCAAGCCGCCCUAUGCUACCAUAGGAGCGAUUAUGCUAAAAUGAGUAAUAAGAAAAGCCACCUUUUCUCCUUGCACUCGUGUAAAUCGAAACGGACCCCCCAUCGAUCAUUAAUCGGCCCCAAAAAAAGAGGGUAAUGAACUAUCAACCCCAAUAACAAGAAAAACACCCAAAUAUCAACCGUUAACCUCACACUAGUACGCUCACAAGGAAAGACUAAAAGAAAAAGAAGGAACUCGGCAAAUACAAGCCUCGCCUGUUUACCAAAAACAUCGCCUCUUGAAAACUAAGUAUAAGAGGUCC